rnacentral:tRNA from 1 species
GACUGAGUACGCAAAUUGGCAAAGCGACCGGGUCGAGAAUCCGGUGAUUUUGUGGGUUCGAUUCCCUCCUCAGUCA